GACGAACCGUCCAAACGUUAUUCGGAAUCACUGGGCUUAAAGGGCGCGUAGGCGGCCGAGCGGGUCGCGGGUGAAAUCCCCCAGCUUAACUGGGGAACUGCCCUCGAUACCACUGCGGCUCGAGGAAGGAAGGGGCAAUCGGAACUGUCGGUGGAGCGGUGAAAUGCGUUGAUAUCGACAGGAACGCCGGUGGCGAAAGCGGAUUGCUGGUCCUUUUCUGACGCUGAGGCGCGAAAGCCAGGGGAGCAAACGAG
rnacentral:rRNA from 1 species